rnacentral:rRNA from 1 species
CGUCUAGGUGGUUACGUAAGUCUGAUGUGAAAAUGCAGGGCUCAACUCUGUAUUGCGUUGGAAACUGUAUAACUAGAGUACUGGAGAGGUAAGUGGAACUACAAGUGUAGAGGUGAAAUUCGUAGAUAUUUGUAGGAAUGCCGAUGGGGAAGCCAGCUUACUGGAUAGAUACUGACGCUGAAGCGCGAAAGCGUGGGUAGCAAACA